rnacentral:rRNA from 1 species
GAUGAACGCUGGCGGCGUGCCUAAUACAUGCAAGUCGAGCGAACGGACGAGGAGCUUGCUCCUCUGACGUUAGCGGCGGACGGGUGAGUAACACGUGGAUAACCUACCUAUAAGACUGGGAUAACUUCGGGAAACCGGAGCUAAUACCGGAUAAUAUUUUGAACCGCAUGGUUCAAUAGUAAAAGACGGUUUUGCUGUCACUUAUAGAUGGAUCCGCGCUGCAUUAGCUAGUUGGUAAGGUAACGGCUUACCAAGGCAACGAUGCAUAGCCGACCUGAGAGGGUGAUCGGCCACACUGGAACUGAGACACGGUCCAGACUCCUACGGGAGGCAGCAGUAGGGAAUCUUCCGCAAUGGGCGAAAGCCUGACGGAGCAACGCCGCGUGAGUGAUGAAGGUCUUCGGAUCGUAAAACUCUGUUAUUAGGGAAGAACAAAUGUGUAAGUAACUAUGCACGUCUUGACGGUACCUAAUCAGAAAGCCACGGCUAACUACGUG